UACGUAGGUGGCAAGCGUUGUCCGGAAUUACUGGGUGUAAAGCGCGUGUAGGCGGGAGGCCAAGUCUGCUGUGAAAUCGCCCGGCUCAACUGGGCGGGGUCGGUGGAAACUGGUCACCUGGAGGACGUAGAGGCGAGUGGAAUUCCCGGUGUAGUGGUGAAAUGCGUAGAGAUCGGGAGGAACACCAGUGGCGAAGGCGGCUCGCUGGGCCGGCCCUGACGCUGAGACGCGAAGGCGUGGGGAGCGAACGGG
rnacentral:rRNA from 1 species